rnacentral:lncRNA from 1 species
AGAACAUAUCUAUGAGUGAUUUCUGAUAGGGAAACAUGUUGACCUUGUCCCAAAUACCUAGUGCUUUCAAAAAAUAGUAACAUGUCUAACAGUCUAUACAAAUUCUUCUCUCUUGUCAGGUAGAAGUGAGAGCAAGAGUCGUAACAGCAAACACCCUUCUGACCUCUGAAAUGCUUCAAACUUUAGAUUACAAAGAUUUUGUUGUCACGGACCGGGACACAGCUGGGGGUGUUGGAAACCACACCCACUUCUGCCUGAGGGAAAGACAGGAUAGUAGCUAGGUGACCACUAGAUACCCUCUCUCAGAGUUGAAGGGUCCUUAAGCCUGAGAGGUCAUUAUUGUCAUCAUCUGUGCCCUGUAAUGAGGUGUUAGUAGGGGUGAUAUGUAUUUCUUCUGGACUGGGAAUUUAACUGCUGGUUUAUGUUCUUCCAGAGCUCCCUCUUUGCCCACUAGCAGGGCAUUAGCUGGUGCUGAAGACAGUGGCUGCUUGGCGAGCCUGGAUCUCCAAGUGACCCCCUCAGCAACUCCUGAUGAACAGGACUGAAGCCAAUAUUAAAGCAAGUCAACCAAAGGUUCUCUGGUGUAGACAAGACAGCAAAAGGACAGACUACCUUGUGGAACCUAGCAUUGUUCUCCUUCUGCAGCACUAAGUAACAUUUGUUCUCCGUUAAGAUCUUUGCAAACCACACACAAGAAUUGCUGGUCAUCCUGCCAAUAGAUGCUGCUCACAGAACCAAAUUUCCUGUGCUGAAUUGUCACUCAUGGGCUUGAGAGUAGGAGACUGGAGACCAAGGUGGCUAGAAUCCAGUUGGGCCUGAUGUCUCCCUGUUGAAAGGGCUCCUUGUGGAAUGAAUAGCACAUGGCUCCUGUGGUGGAUCUGAUAGUGGCAUAGCACCAAGUGAUGCAGGCCUGCCAGGGGCCACAGACACAGAAGAUGCUCCCGGGGUCCCCCAUGUACUCCAGACACACUGCAGGCCACCUCUCCCAGCAGGUUGCCAGUCAUGGGCCCCAUCAUCAUGACUUCUGUCCAAGGUACUGUGUGCAGAAAUGUGAUUGAGAUUCAAGUCAGGGCCUCUCUGCCCUUUUCCCUCCAGAAACAAAACCAAGAUAAUUUAUCCUGAACACGGUGAAAAAAGGAAGGGAGGGAGGAGAAAAAGUCCGGGUCUCACCUGGGAUUCUCUGUCUCCUGCAACAUGAAGGAUUUAGCCUGGGAGGAGGUGGUGAGAACUCUGGGAGAGAAAAAAGAAGGAAAGAAUAGUUUUACCCAUGCUGAAGUUAAUUUAAACCUUCACCUAGAGAAGCAAAAAAAAAAAACCCACACUUUCCCAUUUUGUGCCUCCCUUCCUAGAGUUUUAGCCAAAGGUUUAGCUAAGUAAUUGGUUUUACCAGCGCACUCACUCCUCCUAUCCCAAGUCUGUUUGACUCCCUCCCCAUCAUCCUCCUCACCUCUUUUCAGGCAGGGUGGGGAUAGCAGCAGGAGGAGAUUUUGGGAGCCUGGCAACUCCUGCAAGGACCGCAGGACAGCCCCUCUGUGGGGAUGCGUGGUGCCCCAUCUGCCGCCCUUCUGAAGAAUGCACUGCCUUCACUUUUUACUGUGUUAGAGUCCAUCCAGACUGUUCUAUCCAAAAAAGUUUCUUUUUCCCCCACAGGCAAUCAGGAAAUGAUUCCUUUCCCGACUGCUUCUGUCUAGUGCCUGGGAAUCUUGAGUCAAUCCCUCAGUAAGUCAGUGACUAGGGAAAUCCCUCUCUGAGCCUCCCAGUUCAUGUUGCUUAGGGAACCUGAUAUUUUCGUGAAACCUGCCUACACAUGGGCAGCCCAACAGCAGAACAAAUGGUGGUGACCAAAGUGAACAAAGAAGUAUAGUUGUGCCAGCUUCGUAGUUGCCCAUGUGGACAAGUCAGCAGGAUCAGGACACGAGGAAGAGUAAAUGUGAGACAGUCAAUGUGACUUCUGCGAUAAACAGAUUUUUAAACCCCGAAAUUUUGCAAAAUUUUGGUGAAACCUGAACUUUCUUCGUUGCAUAUACUGGCACUAUCUGUACCAUCAUACAACUGUCUCACAUUAAAGCUAUUUUUCUUGGGC